AUAUUGGUAUUGAUAGAACGAAAAUCAUCGAUGCAGUAGCAAAAUCUGUUCCUUCACCACAUAAAGUUGAUCUUAGCCAUCCUGAUAUACAUAUUGUUGUCCAAAUUGUCAAGACUGUUUGCUUGAUUGGAUUGGUUGAGAAGUGCAAGGAAUUGGCCAAGUUCAAUGUGAGGCAGCUUACAUCUUCUAAAUCCUAACUUGGCAAUUCAGUUUGGUUUUAAGCAGUCUACCAGUUUCUGUUCUCAGAGUCAUUUUGUUUGAUGUAUUUCCUGCAUAUUUUGUACUUUGUUAUGUUAGUUCAUAUCAAUCCUAAACUUACGAAACUUCAAAUUUCCAAAA